GCUGGGGCGUGGCGCCCGCCGCCCACACGGGCUGAGGCAGCCUGGUUGGUCCCCGACUUUUCGCUAGCAGCCGAGGUUCUAAGCGUCCGGGAAGAUGCUGCAGAUUCCUUUGCAAAGUUACUUGAGAGGCCCAGGAGACGCAUGAUGUAAUCUUCAGAAAAGAACAGAAGAAAAUGUCAGAGAGAAACACAGAGAAAAAGAGCCAGUCCAGGACCUGGAUGUGGAAACAGCAAGGGAGAUAGUGAUUUCAGAUUCAGUCUUGCUGUUAACUGAAUGUCAACUAUGAGCAUGAUUGCCUAGCUCCAGUUUUUAUUCCUUUCUAAUGUUCAGGUUCCCCUAAGAUUGGGUCCCCCAAGGAGUUUCUCAAUCACACUCAGCCUCCAGCCAUUUGUCAAGUUUAUCACUGAAGUAUUCAUAGCAGUUGAAGACUCCAGCAUCUUUUGCUCCAGGAGAAAUGACUGUGUGGUCAUCAAAAUCCAUCAACAAGUAAAAAAUAAGAAGGACUAUGCAUCCAGUACAGAUUACACACAGUUUUGGUUGUGAUGAAGAAAUCCAGUGAAGCCCUCAGAACAAGUUGCUGAAAUCUUAUUGGUAUCCUCAACUCACAUGUAAGGAAUGAAACUCAGAGAGAUUAAAUUGCUGCUUCAAGAUUACACAGCAGAUUUGAGUCAGACCUCCCUCUGCCUCCCAAUUCUGUGAUCACCAUGGAUAGAAUCUCAAGGUUUACUCUCUGAUCCAAGAUCAAGGAAGUGGAUAAAAGUAAGAUUCCAGGUUCUGGAACUGGGUCUUUCCUGGACCACCAUGAAGCAGCCUCUUGGAACUAUCUUCGCUCCUUAUUCUGACAAAACCACAGCAAGGGAUUGUUACUGUGUUUACCUUAUGCCUGGCACUGUGCUAAAUGCUUUGUGUAUAUUACUACAUUUAAUCCUUGGCAACCCCAUGAAGUGGUUGCUUUAUUUUUCUCCAUUAUCUAAAUGAGAAAAGUAUGGCUUAGAUACUUAUCUAAAAAAAAAGAAAAAAAAAAAGGCCACACAAUGAGUUAGUGGCAGAGUCCAGAUUUGAACCCAGGUCAGCUUCUUGACAGAGCCCAUGUUCUUCUGUUGAGCUUCAUAACCCACUGCAUGCCGUCCUCUAAGAAAAUGGUUAGAAGUCUGUUUUUUAACUCUGGGAUAGCAAUUUCUAGACUUUUGGGUGUCAUAUGUCAGCUUUUUACAGGGGCCCUCCUCCUCCUCUCUCUGGCUCAAAGCCAUACUGAUUAAAUGAAACAGUAUGAUGACUACUUGUUCCUUCUGUGAUUUUCCUCAUUUCCUCAACCUUAUCUUCUUCGUGUUCAAAUAUUAGCAAUUUAUUGAAAUUGUUUUAAAUCUGUUGUCAUUUAGUUUUAGUAUAAAAUCCUAGAAAACAAGAAUUUUAUAGUAAAAGGAGCAGCAGAGUAGAAACAAUGUCAAAAUUAAAAUCUGAAAAUCUGAUUUCCAGUUCUAAUUCUGCCCUUUCUAGCUAUAUGUGCUUGGUCAAGCCUUUUCAACUGGUUUGAGGUAUCUAUUUUCUUAACCUUCAGUAGUCAGUGACAAUUUCCCUUCAUUGUGCCUCCCCUUACAGAACACAUGGAAGAUUAAACCAGGUUAGUCAAUAAUUCAGUAAAAACAAACAGCCCUAAACACCAGUGUCCUGAAUUCUCUCACUUUUAAAUCAAUUUCUAAGAAAACCCUCAGAGUAAUGUGUAAGAAUAUUUUAGGAACUUCAUUGAUUUGUCUCUGGAAAAUUAAGCCCAAUUGAUCUAUUUUUGAUUUUCAGGUUUUGAUUUCGAAUAGAGGGUAGUUUUUCUUUAAAUAGCAGCAGUGUACCAAUCUCUAAAUAAAAAGUGGAUAUUUAAGACAUACUUAGGGAAAUGAUUCUUGAACACCUUUCCCUCCCUUUCAGUCUAUGAACUGUAAUUGUGACAGUUAAGUAGGUAUGUACUCUAUAGCUGUUAUGAGAGCCUUGGUUCCUGAUUUCACUACCAAUACACAUUUUGAGAAAAAGCCAUGAAUAUUUUCCUUCUUCAGUCUCCCCACAGUUCUUUACUUCUGGUUCUAAAUAGUAUCCAUGUUU